GUCCUGACAGAGGGUGCACUAACA
rnacentral:siRNA from 1 species